rnacentral:rRNA from 1 species
AUUGAACGCUGGCGGAAUGCUUUACACAUGCAAGUCGAACGGCAGCACGGACUUCGGUCUGGUGGCGAGUGGCGAACGGGUGAGUAAUGUAUCGGAACGUGCCCAGUCGUGGGGGAUAACGUAGUGAAAAUUACGCUAAUACCGCAUACGAUCUAUGGAUGAAAGCGGGGGAUCGCAAGACCUCGCGCGAUUGGAGCGGCCGAUAUCAGAUUAGGUAGUUGGUGGGGUAAAGACCCAACAAGCAAACGAUCUGUAGCUGGUCUGAGAGGACGACCGGCUACAAUGGAACUGAGAGACGGACGAGACGCCUACGGUAGGCAGCAGUGGGGAAUUGUGGACAAUGGGCGAAAGCCUGAUCCAGCCAUUCCGCGUGCAGGAUGAAGGCCCUCUGGUUGUAAACUGCUUUUGUACAGAACGAAAAGGUUUCUACUAAUACUAGGAGCUCAUGACGGUACUGUAAGAAUAAGCACCGGCUAACUACGUGCCAGCCGCCGCAGUAA